UACGGGGGGGGCAAGCGUUGUUCGGAAUUACUGGGCGUAAAGGGCUCGUAGGUGGCCAACUAAGUCAGACGUGAAAUCCCUCGGCUUAACCGGGGAACUGCGUCUGAUACUGGAUGGCUUGAGUUUGGGAGAGGAAUGCGGAAUUCCAGGUGUAGCGGUGAAAUGCGUAGAUAUCAGGAGGAACACCAAUGGCGAAGGCAGCUCGCUGGAACGGUACUGACGCUGAGGCGCGAAAGCGUGGGGAGCAAACAGG
rnacentral:rRNA from 1 species